GACGAACGCUGGCGGCGUGCUUAACACAUGCAAGUCGAACGGUGAAGGGGAGCUUGCUCCCCGGAUCAGUGGCGAACGGGUGAGUAACACGUGGGCAACCUGCCCCAGACUUCGGGAUAACGCUUCGAAAGAGGUGCUAAUACCGGAUACGAACACCCCGGGCAUCCGGGGGGUUGGAAAGUUCUUCGGUCUGGGAUGGGCCCGCGGCCUAUCAGCUUGUUGGUGAGGUAACGGCUCACCAAGGCGACGACGGGUAGCCGGCCUGAGAGGGCGACCGGCCGCACUGGGACUGAGACACGGCCCAGACUCCUACGGGAGGCAGCAGUGGGGAAUAUUGCGCAAUGGGCGAAAGCCUGACGCAGCAACGCCGCGUGAGGGAUGACGGCCUUCGGGUUGUAAACCUCUUUCAGCAGGGAAGAAGCGAAAGUGACGGUACCUGCAGAAGAAGCACCGGCUAACUACGUGCCAGCCGCCGCCGUAA
rnacentral:rRNA from 1 species